GCGCUUACUUCAACAACACAUACACUAAAAUUGGAGCAGUACAGAAGAUGUUCAUGGCCCUUGUACAAGGAUAACAUGCAGAUUGGUGAAGCAUUCCAUGUUUCU
ensembl:snRNA U6 U6 spliceosomal RNA